AGAGCGAACGCUGGCGGCAGGCCUAACACAUGCAAGUCGAGCGCCCGUAGCAAUACGGGAGCGGCAGACGGGAUAGUAACACGUGGGAACGCGCCCUUCGGUUCGGAAUAACUCAGGGAAACUUGAGCUAAUACCGGAUACGCCCUUACGGGGAAAGAUUUAUUGCCGAAGGAACGGCCCGCGUCCGAUUAGCUAGUUGGUGAGGUAAUGGCUCACCAAGGCGACGAUCGGUAGCUGGUCUGAGAGGAUGACCAGCAUCACUGGGACUGAGACACGGCCCAGACUCCUACGGGAGGCAGCAGUGGGGAAUAUUGGACAAUGGCGCAAGCCUGAUCCAGCCAUGCCGCGUGGAUGAUGAAUGCCUUAGGGUUAGUAAAGUCCUUUUAACGGGGAAGAUAAUGACGGUACCGUAGAAUAAGCCCGGCUAACUCGUGCCAGCAGCCGC
rnacentral:rRNA from 1 species